UUUGUCCAUUCUCGAGUGUUCUUGUCUUCUCCCUUUCCAAAAAAAGUCCUCUUGAACUUGGAACACCGUGGGGAAAAAAGUCUUCUUUUCUUCUCGGGAGCUCCCAGCCAUGGAAAAGGAUGAGCCAGCCUGGGUCCGCCGCAUAUGUGAGGAUCACCUCGAAGCUCCCCUCGGUCUCCUCUCAUACUUCGUGGUUCUCACUCACACACCUCGUGGCUGGGACUGCGCAUAGUUUGGCUGCCCGCGUGCGUCGUCGAUCUCCCAGGCCGUCAACGGGUAGUAUGGCCCUGAUAUCAGCUGCCUGAGGGAGGAUGCGAGCUCGUCUAACUCGACGGUGCAGUUGCAGUAGGCUACGAUUGAUGCGAUGAAGGUGCGGAUCUCGUUCCCCUUAGCUCUUGCAGAUUGUGGUUGUGGGGAUCCUGGGGGUGUUAUCUCCGUCCCCGAGCGCCGGGCCGGAGGCGUCGUUGCUGUCCCCAAGCGAGCACGCCGCGCAUCGUCUUCAACCUCGAUAGCCACAACCCCACUUCAGCAUCGCAUUGUUCCACCUGCAGGUCCCCCCUCUCCGUUUUCCUUUUUCUGUCUUUGUACGACUGAACCAAUGUACUUUAAGGUAUUUCUUAACAGUGACAAAUGGUAUAUAUUGGCUGCUAUUGAAAUGAGAUAUUAGUAAGUCUGGAUGCCGAACACAGCUUAAGGCAAAUUGUUAAUUAGUUUAUGUGCCGUCCACUUUUUUCAGGGCGUGAGACCGGAAUCGCAGUUUGUCAUUAGUGUAUUUGUGAUUAGCUAUAGUUUUAAUAUUUCCCAAAGACAAAUUAAUUUUAAUAACUGAGUAGUAAAAUUAGGUAUGAUUGCAUUCUACAUAUGAAAUAUAACGAUGAUCUGAUGCUCUCAACAUUCGGUGGAAUAUAAAAUUGAUAAUGCAUGAUUAGUUGAGUUUAAUCGGUUCUGGCUCUCCAUGUUUGAUGCUGUGAAGCAGAAUAUGUGUAAAGCACUACCGAGUUUUGCUAUCCUGGCCAUUUAGUCCUGCUGUACAGUGGAGAUUCCAACAGUCAUACAGUCCAUGGUUGCUGCUAGUUAGUAGGUUCAUAGUGUAACCCCCCUUAAAAAUUAGUUCUUUUGUUUAUUAGCAACUUCAUUCCUUUCUGUAUUAUAGUUUGAGCACCUCUUUAGAUAGCGAAUUCUUUGAUCUCAUUUAUUUGCUGUUUCUACCAAGUGUUUGUCCUUAUGUUUGUAGUCAUUCAUUGAAUAUGAAGAGCAAAAAAGUGAAAUCCCGAGUUGGAGAGGUGCAGGUCUAUCAUAAGGAUGUGUUCAUUUUCGGGAAUGAUUAUGCAGAUCAGACAUGUUACGGAUGUACAUCUUCAAUUGAACGAUUAAGCCGGGCUGGUGGUCAGCUGAGUGGACACAUGUCUUAGAAUAACAGAGGGUAAUAGUUCAAUCGUCCAAAUUUUUAGAACCGGCCUGGUCCAAAACUUCAGUUGUAGAAAUUCUUUUGAAUUUGUAGAGGAAGAACAUAAAGGACUUGUUCCUGAAGUCUUUCAGGGAGGUGCCGUUAGUAGGAGAGGAGUUUCAGAGUUUAGCCAAGGUUGCUUGACGGUGUUCUAUGGACUAUUGUUUAUCAGUUGCAGGACCUAAUUUAUUCUUCCCUUCAAUUGGAUAUGUGCAUGGUGUGAACUUUGACAAUGAGACAAGUAGAAUCACAUGCAGAAUGCUUUACCCUCAGUCCAAAAGUUUUAUCAUUGUUAGUUUCUAGCAGUUUGGGUGUAACCACGAAGUGAGAUGCAUUUUAAUUUUGCAGUUUUUAUAUAAAAGUUUAUCUGCCUAUAUUAUGUACUUCAUAAACAGACAAUCAAAAUACCGUAGAUAAUAGAAAGGAGGCAACAACCACCAAUGUUUAAGAUCAAGAAAACAAUGCUUAUUGUGUCACAAGCGAACACUGCUUGUUUUCUCCAUGUCAUCAUGCAGACCUUGAGCCAAAGAGGUCAAUUAUAAUUUUGAUAUUUGUCAGGUGACUUUGAAAUUACUAUUACUAUGUAGUAGAUACUAAAAGUUAUCAGAUCUGAGCACAAAGAUGUCUGUAGGUGCAAAAGGAUUAGAAGAUGCUUAUUGGACAACCGUGAAUGUUGACAAGAAAAUAGCUAUUCCGAAGUUUGAUUAAGAAAGGCACAAUAAUGAACAUCUUGGGCACAAAAUUCUAUUGGAUGAGAUGUUCAUGGACACUAAUGGCCAGGAACCAAUACUUUAUUGUCUGAUGCAUAUUCUCCUUUCAUGUACCAUGCAUGUGACAAAAGAAUCAACUUGAUGAUGCUUAUGUAUAUUUUGGCAUCGAGUAUCAA